GCCCCCUUAGUAUAAUGGAUAGAACGCGGGUUUCCGGUACCCGAAAUGCAGGUUCGAUUCCUGCAGGGGGCA
rnacentral:tRNA from 1 species